rfam:Myotis lucifugus cont2.23467, whole genome shotgun sequence.
GGAUGUGAGGGUGAUCUGGCUGCGACAUCUGUCACCCAAUUGGUUGCCAGGGUUGAUUCGGCUGAUCUGGCUGGCUAGUGGGGUGUCUCCCUCCUCCGUCACUGAUCCAUGUAUGUCCCUCCCAAAGCUGCUCGCUCGGUAUGUAAGAGGACUACCUUCCCCCCAGAGGAGACCAGUCUUCAGUCAAGGAUAUACAAGUAGCUGUGCUCCCCUGUUAAAACCUCCAAACAAGCGCUCAAGAAGACUUCAGAUCUAUAAUGUCCUAUUUUUAAAAAGGAAUCUAAAGCAAAUAUGGUAAAAGUUAAGAUUGUUAAGUAUGCGUGGUAUAAUGGAGGUUCUU